CAGCCGCCGCGGUAAUACGAAGGGUGCAAGCGUUAAUCGGAAUUACUGGGCGUAAAGCGUGCGUAGGCGGUGAGUUAAGUCUGCUGUGAAAUCCCCGGGCUCAACCUGGGAAUGGCAGUGGAUACUGGCUCGCUAGAGUGUGUCAGAGGAUGGUGGAAUUCCCGGUGUAGCGGUGAAAUGCGUAGAGAUCGGGAGGAACAUCAGUGGCGAAGGCGACUAUCUGGGCCAACACUGACACUGAGGCACGAAAGCGUGGGGAGCAAACAGGAUUAGAUACCCCCGUAGUCCCUGUCUCUUAUAC
rnacentral:rRNA from 1 species